AGGAGGAACAACCGCAGUGGCGGCGGCAGCUCUGCAGCCCUGGAGUCAGCCCCCGCAGUAGCUCCGGAGCUCUCCGUCUGCAGCGCCUGGAGGCUCCGGGGCGGG
rnacentral:pre_miRNA from 1 species